GUCAUUCUGUAGGAAUACCAGAGUACAUGACCACGGUAAGAGUGCUGUUACCCAAAGUGAGCCCUGGGCAGGAAGUGCUGGGACGAUGGUCACAUGACGGAUGGUAUCACCGCGGUUUAGUGCUCCAUGUGUGUGAUGACCAGAGCUUCAUCCUGCAAAAUGGAGCAGGGAUGCUGGAGAGGGUCUGGAGGGAGGACAUCAUUACUAAGGGAGAUGACACCAGCCAUGAGAUAAAGGUAGAGCACCCUGUCAUCAGUGCCCACCCUCUGUACCCUGGUCACUAUUGUCCAGCAACAAUCCUGAGCAUUCCUGGAGACCUACAGAUCAAGGUGCGCUACUACGACGGCUCGGAAGCCACAGUCCCCAGGGAUCAGGUGUACUUAGUUCCUGCUGAGAAGUUUGAGCAGGAUGUGGCCUAUGCCUUGGAGUGUGAACAGCGCUGGGUUGGGGAACCAGUUGUAGCCAGAUGUGACAACACAGGGACCUACCACCCUGCGGAGGUGGAGCAGCAGGUGGGAAUUGGGAGGCAGUACUUGAUCCGCUGGGCCGAUGGAACCAGCACUGUCCAGGACAGGGACCGCAUCUUUGGGAAAUGGAGCCCGUGGCGCAUCCUUGUGGUGGGGGACAAUGUGCUAGCACCCGCUGACCCAGCCUCACACACCUUCAUUCCUGGUGUCAUCCAUGGAUUACAUGGGGCUUUUGUGUAUGUACAGUUCAUAAAUGGUGAAAGGUAUAUGACAUUUAUUCAGCUUUGUACCAAAUCUCAGUGUCUACCUGCAGUACUUUUUAAAUUUAAAUCUAAAUAAGUCUAUUAAGACUUAAUAGGAAUUUGAAAAGCUGCUUUUAAAUACACACACACACACACACACACACACACACACACACACAUUUUCAGAACCGCUUGUCCCAUACGGGGUCACGGGGAGCCGGAGCCUACCCGGUAACACAGGGCGUAAGGCCGGAGGGGGAAGGGGACACACCCAGGACGGGACGCCAGUCCGCCGCAAGGCACCCCAAGCGGGACUCGAACCCCAGACCCCACCAGCAAGCAGGACUGUGGUCCAACCCACUGCGCCACCGCACCCCCUGCUUUUAAAUAUGCUGUAUGAAAUAAAAAUAAUAUGAUUGCUGUUAAGGGGGGUGCG
rnacentral:lncRNA from 1 species